CAUACAUUGUUACACAUCAUACUUAACUUCAUUAUCAUACAUCAUCAUCAUAAACAUUAUCAUCAUAAGCAUCAUCAUCAUCAUGCCUUUGUGAGCAUGCCACCUAUCUUGUCCAUGCCACUUCUUAAGGUAAACAGGAGACUCUGGUCCUUGAAUUAGCUCACUACAUAAAAAUCUACUUUCCACAACAAAUAAAUAUAAGUUUAUUAAAAAUGUAUUAUAAUUGGUAUAAGAAAGAAAAAGCGGUAAAAUACACUAACUAAAAAAAUAAGCGGCAAAUAAAAAUAUAAGCAACAAAUUAUAUGUUAACUUUUCCCUCAAUCAUUUUUCCCCAAUUUGUUUUCGUUCACUCUUCCCUCCCAAUAAAAAAAAUAAAAAACCCUAAAUCAUUAAUUCCUCACUUUUGUCAUCUUCUUAGUCGCUGUCACUUUUGGGUUUGUAAUAUCUCUCAUUGUUUCAUUGUUUGUUCAUUUGGGAAAUGUAAGGGUUUUAAUUUAUUCAUCCUUAAACCGAAUCUCACCGAGCGAUUACAAAGAUACAAACUGUACUACAACCUAGAUGAGCUUAGUUCAACAGGUGAAAUGCAUUAUCUUGAAAUGGAGAGUCAGUACUUGAAAAUAUUAUAAUUCCUAAAACAAAAACAAACUCCUAGGCAAUCUCUCACUGAUUGACUCUCACACUAAUUAGUCAUCACAGACUAUGCCGUCCGCCGCCGUCGACCCGCAGAGAAUCAGUGCCGCCGAUGGUUCAUCCUCAAGCAAAGGGAAGCUCCUAUGGUUUGCUUCUAUGCUACUAAUUCAAGUUCAUCGCUUUGGAACUAUUCGAGUUAGAAAAUUUGACUUCAAAUUUAGGUUCAAUUUCCACGAAUCUGGAUCAUGGUAGUAUUGUAAGAAAUUCUCAUAUUCCAUGAGAAGAAAAUAGUCUUAGUGGCGGGAAAGGUUCUUGGAAGCUUGGGGAAUGUGUAUUGAGGCAGAAUGGAUUCAAGGAGUCGAGAGUUUCGGUUUCGAGGAUGUAGUUUUUGUUUUCUUAUGGUUUUUAUAUGUAUCUUUCCGCAUUUUAUUAUGUAAUCUCUUUUUAAUUAUGUCAUGUUUUGAUUUUAAAACAAUGGGAUCCCAUAUUCUAACUUAAAUUUUAUGUAAGUUUAACUUUUAUUUUUACAAGUUUCUUAAUAAAGUUAUGGUCUUUUCACUUGUAAGUUUUAUUAAGGAUUAGU